rnacentral:rRNA from 1 species
CCUGGAAGGGCCCGAUCUCGCCGCGAUCGCGGAAGCUAAGCAGG